rnacentral:rRNA from 1 species
AAUCAACGCUGGCGGCGUGCCUCAGACAUGCAAGUCGAACGAUUAAGACUUCCUUCGGGAAGUGUAUAAAGUGGCGCACGGGUGAGUAACACGUAGGUAAUCUACCUUCGAGUGGGGAAUAACGUUCGGAAACGAACGCUAAUACCGCAUAAUGCAGCGGCAUCGCAAGAUGACAGUUGUUAAAGGAAUUUAUUUCGCUUGAAGAGGAGCUUGCGGCAGAUUAGCUAGUUGGUAAGGUAACGGCUUACCAAGGCUACGAUCUGUAUCCGGUCUAAGAGGACGGUCGGACACACUGACACUGAAUAACGGGUCAGACUCCUACGGGAGGCAGCAGUCGGGAAUUUUGGGCAAUGGGCGAAAGCCUGACCCAGCAACGCCGCGUGAAGGAUGAAGUAUUUCGGUAUGUAAACUUCGAAAGAAUGGGAAGAAUAAAUGACGGUACCAUUUAUAAGCUCCGGCUAACUACGUGCCAGCAGCCGCGGUAAU